UACAGAGGGUGCAAGCGUUGUUCGGAUUUACUGGGCGUAAAGCGCGUGUAGGCGGUGGCGUAAGUCGGAUGUGAAAUCCCUCGGCUUAACCGAGGACGUGCACCCGAUACUGUGCCACUUGAGUACCGGAGGGGAUGGCGGAAUUCCCGGUGUAGAGGUGAAAUUCGUAGAUAUCGGGAGGAACACCUGUGGCGAAGGCGGCCAUCUGGACGGUAACUGACGCUGAGACGCGAAAGCGUGGGUAGCAAACAGG
rnacentral:rRNA from 1 species